rnacentral:rRNA from 1 species
AACGAACGCUGGCGGCAUGCCUAACACAUGCAAGUCGAACGAGACCUUCGGGUCUAGUGGCGCACGGGUGCGUAACGCGUGGGAAUCUGCCCUUGGGUUCGGAAUAACAGUUGGAAACGACUGCUAAUACCGGAUGAUGACGUAAGUCCAAAGAUUUAUCGCCCAAGGAUGAGCCCGCGUAGGAUUAGCUAGUUGGUGAGGUAAAGGCUCACCGAGGCGACGAUCCUUAGCUGGUCUGAGAGGAUGAUCAGCCACACUGGGACUGAGACACGGCCCAGACUCCUACGGGAAGCAGCAGUGGGGAAUAUUGGACAAUGGGCGAAAGCCUGAUCCAGCAAUGCCGCGUGAGUGAUGAAGGCCUUAGGGUUGUAAAGCUCUUUUACCCGGGAUGAUAAUGACAGUACCGGGAGAAUAAGCUCCGGCUAACUCCGUG